rnacentral:tRNA from 1 species
AUCUUUCUAGUAUAAUGUUAAUAUAUGUGACUUCCAAUUGCAUAAUCUUGGUUGGACCCCAAGGAAAGAUA